UACCAGAGGCGUACGGGGGAACGUGAAUGGUUGACCCUUCCCAAAUUCUACGCCACUGGCGGAAUUUCUAUUUUAGUUCAAUUCUUUGAUUUCCCAAUACUUUGUAUGUAAAUAACAUACUCUUCAUUUGAAGCUAAAAACGAAGUAGCAUAAUACAUUAAUCAAAAUAAGUGUGCCUUUUCAUUUUUAACUUCAAAUAUCUCGAAAACAAAUGACGUUAUUGUUACGAAUGAAGAGUAUAUUAUUUACAUAGAAAGUAUUGGAGAAUCUAAAAAUUAUGCUAAAAUUGCAGUUUCAUCUGUGGCGUAGAAUUUGGGACGGGUCAACCAUUCACUUUCCCCUGUCGUACGCCUCUGGUAUUAACCACAAACAAUUAUUUAACAUAAUUUAGUAGGGUGUAGAGUAUAUACACGUUCUGUCAAGUACCAUAUGGAUAUGUCAAAUAGUUUUAUAGGAGCGGGCACACAUAUGUAUUAAAGUUUUAAAUAAAAAAUAACUUAUUAAAAAAAAAGAAUAUUUAAAAUAAUUUAACAUAUUCGUGUGACACUUGGCAGAAAGUGUAGAUGAAACUUCUAUUUUAGCAUAAUUUUUAGAUUCUCCAAUACUUUCUAUGCAAAUAAUAUAUACUCUUUAUUCGUAACGAUAAAGUCAUUAGAUUUAGAGAUAUUUGAAGUUAAAAAUGAAAAGGCACACUUAUUUUGAUUAAUGUAUUAUGCUACUUCGUUUUUAGCUUAAAAUAUCUCGAAAACUAAUGGCUUUAUCGUUAUGGAUGAAGAGUAUGUUAUUUACAUAGAAUUGGAGAAUAAAAAAAUUGAACUAAAAUAGAAAUUCCUCCAGUGGCGUAGAAUUUGGGAAGGGUCAACCAUUCACGUUCCCCCGUCGUACGCCUCUGGUAGUAGCCAGAGACAUUUGUUUAACAUAAUUUAGUAGAUUGUACAAUACCAGCACCGCUUACCAAAUUUCGUGUUGUUGUCCCAUGCCUGUCAGGAAAUAUUCAAAAAUAAAUAAAAUAAAAGUUUAACUUUGACACCCUGUAUUUCGGUUAUUAUCAAUUUUUGUACUAAGGUAAGUUAGCUUAAAUCGACCUAUUUUAACUUCAGAAAUCUAAGGUUAAGUAAGCUAUGGCCGAUUCUUUACCAAACACCCUGUAUAAGGAUAAGGCUCUAACUGCUCUAGCUCGUAAACUAAAAGAGAUAAAACAUUUUUUCAAAUACAAUUUGUUCCUUCAAAAAAAAACCAAAAAAGAAAAUGGUGGUAUUAAACUUUAAUCCAAUAAUUAGAACUAGAGAUAUUGUAAAAUUAGUGCAAAAUGGUUGCAAAAGAAGUUUUUUUCGAUCGUAACUCCACUUCUGCGCAUACAAAUGAGCUUUACAAAGUCUCAUUUUAAAGUUUAACUUAGAGACUUUUAAAAACAAACUUUGUUAAACUCCGUUAUCUUUGUUUAUAUUAAAGUUAUAUUCGUUUGAAGUUGUAAUUUUCUUAAAGAAAUUGUAAAUAAUUUGAUUUAAACAAACAGUAACGAUAGAAAAACUCUAAAAGGAACAUUUUGAGCUUGGAAAAACGUUCGUAGAUUUAUUUUUGACCAAGCUAUCGAUAUUUUCAUAAUGCGCUCUGAGACGCAAGAUUAGCUCACAGCGAAAAGGUGCGCGAGCGAACCGCUCGAUACAAAUUUGUUGCUGUAAUUUGCUUAAAACCCUUAAAAAAAAUAAAUUAUUAAUUUACGAUCAAAAAAGCUUCGAAAAAUUCUUCUUUUGCAACCAUUUUGUACGAAUUUUACAAUAUCUCGAGUUCUAAUUAUUGGAUUAAAGUUUAGUAAACGAUAUUUUCAUGGUUUCUUUUGUUAAGGAACAUAUUUUAUUUGACACAUUUUUUACUUUCUUUUAGUUUACGAACUAGAGCUUUAUAAACACUUCAAUUGUUUAUAACAAUUGUGUGACUACUUCGAUCGAAAUUCACCCUCUAAAUUAUUCGUAAUCAGCAGCCAAAAAUACAUAUUUUGAAUAGCCCACGGUGAUCUAGCUGACUCCUGGACUAUUAAUCUUGAUAUAAAUUUACAUUUUCAAAUUCUGCAAAACCUCAAAAACUUUUUUACAAAGUUUGAUCAUUUUUUAUUUUAGAACAAAUGACUAUCUUCGAAAAAGAUUGAUUCUCAGAUUGCGAUUGAUGUUAAGGCAGUCGUAAAAAAUAGCAGAUUAACCAUUUUCUGAUAAGUUCCACAAUUUCAUCCCCCAACUUUUAAAUGAUAGCUUUAGUCUGGGAGCUGGUAAUGAUAGUACUAAUUUGGAAAUUUUUAUGAUGUGUUUGUUAAAUAAACGCGUAACAUGUUAGUCGAAGAGCUUAAGGAAAAGUAGGUAUGUAAUUACCAAAACUCGUAUUCUUUAAUAAUUCAUUUCAGUUUAAAACCGUUACAUGGAAAUAUAGGUAAUAGAGUAAGGAAUAAUAAUUUUAAAUCGGGAUGAGAUUAGAGAAUCAAACGUUUAAUGUGGAUUUCUUUGAUCAUUAUUCUUAAAUGUCUUAUUUGUACUCCUUUUACUAUUUACUUCAUGAAUAUUUUUUCAAAGAUUUGUUAGCUCUUUUGUAUAUAUAGUUUAUAGUUGCAAUGCAUUUUACAUUAUUCACAUACAUAUUUGGGAAUUUGUUAUUCGGCUGAAACAUAAACUCACAAGAGACACACCACAUCACGAAGAAUCAUCAUAAUUGCAGACAAAUCUUAUAAUGUAGGGCAUUCUAUGCCUACUAGGGACACAAUGCUUUUUCAGUCUGUAUUUGAUUUCAUAUCAUACCAGCAUGUAAUGUGAUUUCAAAGUCGUUGCCAAGACUAAAAUCCCUUCUUCUCAUUCCUUGAGCCCUUGUCAUGGUGUGGUGACAAUAGUGGUAUUAUUAGCUUGUUGUCUCUAUUGACUGCGAUCCUGUUCCAGAUGGUUUCAUGAAAGAAUUUUCCCACCAGAGUCUUCAUUUGGUAUACCCAUUGUUGCUUUCUGCACAGAGAUGGCCUCUAAAUACACAUUUGAUGCCACCAGAAGGGGAGGUUAGAUAAUAUGUAAGUUCAGUCUAGAACACGCUGGUUUUCCCCUUCGAAUUAACUGUAUACUAAUAUAUUAUACGAAGCAAGUGGACUGUAUUAUUCUAAUUAAGAUCAAGUAAAAUGAAACAGAAAAUAUCUCAAAAUACAAUCACGACAAAUAGAUACAAAUUAUGAAAAGCUAAGAAAAACCCUUUGACAAAAUUACAUAAAUAUUUCCCUUGACCUAAAACCAAAUCAGCUGUUACAAAUAUCGUAAAGGAAGUACAACAAUAAUUAUCUAAUAUUCUAAACAGCUGGCUGAGACGAUAAAAUCUCCGAAGCGAAUAUGAUACCUCAUAAACGGCAUUUUAAGAAAGAAUUAAUUGGUCACAAAAAUAUUAGGGCAUCAAGAACGUUAAAAAUAUAUCAAAACAAUAUUAAACUUCGGUUAGGUCAAUGGAACAUAGAAGAGUAUAUUUAAAAGAAAUUAUUAUAUUAUGAGCGUUUACUACGAGAAAGGCACCCUAUCAAAAUCAAUAAAAUCAUAAAAUCAAUAUAUGGAUAUAAAUAUGUCAAUAAAGUGUAAUGCUAAAUAAAACACAUGCAGUAAUUAUUAUAAUACGAUGCAACACAGAAAAAUAUAGAAUUAUGUUUAAAAUGAAUGUCUAUACGAUUAAAGACCCAAUGUCUUUGCAAAUUCGCGCACUUCGCGACGUUAAAAGUUAAUUGGAGGAAAAGGGUAUCUGAUUAUACCACACCAACGUAAAAUGUACUUUAAAACUUAUUUUGGUACCUUAAAACUCCUCUCAGGGAUGUACAAUGCAGCAGGAUUGCUAUAGUCUAUAGCGAGGACAUCACCUCCUAGCAGAGCAGCGCAGGAACGAUGAUGUCUGGAUCCCGUCAUGGGACGCAGGGUAGCCCUUUGCUACCAAACGAAGAACACCUUCUUCGCUCAACGAACUGUGCACAACUGAUUAAUGUUCCCCGCUGACUUUAAAUAAACACAUUUUUAGGGGGGUCUCUUCUUCGAUAUUGGAUUGGUACUCAAUUAAAGAAAAUUAGUUUUAGGGUUUAUUACCGAUUUUUUAUUAUUUCUGUUCCGUGGACGCAGUUACCAUAAUUUGAAUGAUGCCAUAUCGACACGUUCCCAAUAGUAAUAAACUAAUAAACCAAGUUGUAAUUAAACGUUCGUAUAUUUAUAGUUCAUAAAAGUUCAUAUAUUAGACGCGACACUUUUUUACGAUGUCUAAGAGCUAGCAACGUUUUCGAGAAAGUAUUUUAACUAUACGGGGAGAACCAUAAGUUAAAAGAAAAUUGCGGAACUGCAACACCCAUCGUGUUGGACAUCGACCUCUAGGUCCUUCUACAAUCAAUAGUUCCAUAGACCCCGUUUUUCUGGCUAUGUUGCCGAAGUAACAUAGCCAGAAAAAAACCAUAUAGUUUUCUUAACAGCCUUUCUAAACUCUUGACCGAUUCGUCUAUCCACCCACUUCUCGAAGGCUUCGAUCUUACUUCUAUUCAUUUUUUCUAGAGAAGAAAAAUAAGGGCAAUGACCAACUUGAGCUUAGUGUUUUGUUUGGCCAUGAGUCUUGAACUUUUGAUCAGUGACCAAACAUUACUAGUCUACGCCAUUGUUGAUUAUCAGGGAGCCCAAAUAUACAAAUAUGUCGUAUUACGUCGAAUUUCGCUACUUGGUGUAUGUAUGGGACGUUGAUUAUUAUUUGCCCCUCUACGAUCACUAUUUUACAUUUUCCGGUGUUGAUCUGAAGUCCUAAUUCCUUGUUUAUCUGGAGUAUUUCGUGGUUUAUCUUAAGGCGGAUAUACAUAUGCGCUCUGCUCGGUGUGCGAGCCGCUCGCGCGCAGCGUAUUCGUCAGAUUAGUACGUGUUUUCAAGUGACGCACAAACGGCACGCACACGGCGCACCACGAUAUAAAUUCUGUCGGUUUUUCAACAAACGCUUUGAUGGUUCGCAAUACGUAUUUGGACGGGUUUGCGAGUGGUUUGUUGGUUUUGGCGCGCAUGAGUUGAAUAUUUGUUAGUAAUGGAAUGGUCGGAACUGUCGGAAGGAAAUAUCUAACUUACUGAUGUUUACCGUGGAAAAUCAUUAUAGUGGGAUCCUCAAUAAAGAACCAUUUAAUUUAAAGAACAACUUAAAUCCGAUCUGAACGGAAAUAGAAGCUGAAAUAAAAAAAAUGUACAUGCGGACCUUUUUAAAAAAUGUUAGUUCAUUGUUGUACUAAAAAUAACAUUUAUUAAAAAUAAGAUUUACUAUUUUAUUUGGGCAUAAGCCACAAUUCGAGUUUGAAAUCAAGUUUACUUGACCUUUCGACUUUCACUUCGGAAAUAGUUAUCAAUAUCAAAAAAACAUUCAUAAGCAGAUAUAUAUUAUGUGUCACCGGAAAGCGAAAUAGGUAACGCACGACUUGGAGAACCUAUAGUUUUCUAACUUCGUGUCUGGUGAAGCAACGCAGUUGAAACAAGCGGAUAUAUUAUAAUUGUGUCACCGGAAAGCGAAAAAGGUAAGGCACAACUUGGAAGACCCAAUAAUUUUCUAACUUCGCUUCUGGUGAAGCAACAGAGUUGGAACAAGCAGAUAUAUUAUAAUUGGGUCACCGGAAAGCCAAAAAGGUAACGCACAACUUGGAAGACCCAAUAGUUUUCUAACUUCGCUUCUGGUGAAGCAACGGAGUUGGAACAAGCAGAUAUAUUAUAAUUGGGUCACCGGAAAACAAAAAAGGUAACGCACAACUUGGAAGAGCCUAUAGUUUCCUAACUUCGCUUCUGGUGAAGCAACGGAGUUGGAACAAGUGGAUAUGUUAUAAUUGUGUCGUCGGAAAGCGAAAAAGGUAACGCACAUCUUGGAAGAGCCUAUAGUUUCCUAACUUCGCUUCUGGUGAAGCAAUUGAGUUGGAACAAGCAGAUAUAUUAUAAUUGGGUCACCGGAAAGCCAAAAAGGUAACGCACAACUUGGAAGACCCAAUAGUUUUCUAACUUCGCUUCUGGUGAAGCAACGGAGUUGGAACAAGUAGAUAUGUUAUAAUUGUGUCGUCGGAAAGCGAAAAAGGUAACGCACAUCUUGGAAGAGCCUAUAGUUUCCUAACUUCGCUUCUGGUGAAGCAACUGAGUUGGAACAAGCAGAUAUAUUAUAAUUGGGUCACCGGAAAGGGAAAAAGUUAACACAGGGCUUGGAAGAACCUAUAGUUCCCUAAUAUCGUUUCUAGUGAAGCUACGCAGUUGAAACAAGCAGAUACAUUACAAUUGUGUCACCGGAAAACGAAAAAGGUAACGCAUGACUUGGAAGUACCUAUAGUUCUCUAAUUUUGUUUCUGGUUGUAGGAACAAGCAGAUAUAUUAUGGUAGGGGAGCAAAGUAUGCUAAAUGUGCAAUCACUCGAGUGCUUUGGGGACCUAUUGGGUUGUGAUUAUUAGGUCCUAAAACCAAAAAAGUUAAGUAAAAUUUUCCAUUUUAGUGGGGACUUCCCAUUUUUUAAUUUAAUUUUCCAUUUCCAACAAUCUGUUUUCCGAUUAUAGCGCCAUCUAUCCAUAAUUCAAAAAAAUGUUUCGAAUAAAAGUUGUUUAUUUUUAUACAAACAAUCCAAAUCUGCAAUAAGAAACGGCGUCUACCAUUUAAGAUUUUAAAGUAACCCCCCACCUCUCCUCCGUGGGGGGUCGUGUUUGGAACCAUUCGAUAGAUUUUUCAAAAAUAUUGAUAAAGUGUAUUUUGCAGUUUUUCGAUAUGAUGUUUAAUUUGCGAAAGAUCGCGGGAUUUGUAUUUAAAAUUUUAAAUUUACCCCCCACCCCUCUCCGUGGGGGGUCAAGUUUGGUAUUUUUCGAUAGAUUUUUGAAAAAUAUUGAACACGUAGUUUUUAGUUUUUCAAUCUGACGUUCAUUUCGCGAAAUAUUCGCUUUUUUUUGUGAAACUUUUUGACUCACCCAUUUCCGUACGCCCCGCUCAAAUCGUCAUAUUUUUGAAAUAUAGACUCUUUUGCAUGUAUUUAACUUACCUUAUCUUAAUCUGACAAUUUCGAGUAUUUUUAUGGAUAGAUUUUUUUCGGGCCCCCCUGAACGAACUCCUCUGUGUUAAGAGCCAAUAUAUGGUGGAGGUACAUCUGCAGGGUACCGCGUUUCUCCCCAUAUGAUAAUCUGACGCGCUCGAGUAACUGAAAAAAUCCCAGCUUGGGCUCCCCUACCAUUAUAUUUGUGUUGCCGGGAAGCGAAAAAGGUAGUUCCCGAAAUGUUCCCAAACUGUGGCUUAUUCCACAUAAAAUAGUAAAUUGCAUAAGAUGACACAAGAAAAUAGUUUCAGAACAAUACCAAAAUAAGAUGUAGUAGAAGUACAGGACAGAUACAUGAUUAUCUACAAUUACUAAACGUUCGUAAGUUUCCUCUGGAUCGUCAAAAUGAAAAAUUUUAACGAACAAUAACCGCGCCACGAACGCGCGGCGCACACACAGCGCGGAGUUCGCGGCGCGGAUAUCUAUCUCCGCCUUUAGACGUUCGGUGAUAGUAGUCAUUUCGACUUCAUUCGGUAGUUUCGGUUUUUGGUGUUUUCUUGUCCCUUAUUAUGAUGAUUACCCGGUAAUUUAAAUACUUAUUACUUCAUGUUAUCAUUUUCUUCAAUUUCCUGAGUUGAACAUUUUUAUGUAUAUCGACUGUAAGCUCUGCUUUGGCUGUUUAGUUUGGUGUUUGCUUUUUUAGUACUUAUUAGAAAUUUCAGAAACUUCAGGCCGAUACCAUUAGUAUUAAAUAAUUUCUAGUAACCGUCAUAAUAAUUAAAAAUUAAUGUACAUAUUUGUUUAAAGGUACGGUUUAUAAAUGAUGCAAAGGAUCUAAAUGCAUAAUCAAUAUCACAUCUCAUAAAAAUAGUCAAUAUCCUAACCAAACGAGACACUACUUAUGAUUACAUAAAAAAGUCGUACCUAUUCAUGAACUCAAAAAUCUUUAUUUUUCUUUUGUGUAACUAUAAAAGGUAUUUUAGGCAAUAAAAUCGUAUUAAAAUUUAUAACGAACACAUUUAAAAAUUUCCCGCCGGCUCCCGUUCUAUAUUGUACAGAACAUUUUGUGUAAAUAAUUAAAUUAAAUAGGGCUAUAUGUAGACGUAUCGACGUACUAUAAAAAACUUUAUUCAAGCAACUUGGACUGAUUAAUUAAUGCUUUUAAGAUGAAGCUUGUUGUUAAUUGUAGAAUAAAAUAACUCUUACUAGAAUAAACAAACAAUGUAUUGUAGUACAAUUACCAUUAAACUUGCCGAGUUUACUUUUUACAUAAGAUAAACAAAUACCACACUAUUUACAUUUUCCGAUCUUUUUUUUGUUACUUUUAAACGAGAUUCCGGCCUUUCUGAUUGUGUAUGAGUGGCAUUUUGGUUGAAAGUGAUAGUGAAGACAAAUAUUACAAAGUUCGGUAUAUUGGCAAUACAGUUUUUGUAUUUGUGCCAAAAUCUUGUAUUGUUGCUGUUAAUUUUGAAAAAUAUUUUGGGAUGCGAACGUUUUUGAAUAAUUUAUAUAGAAAAUACAAAUUGUGUGACCUUUCAUUCCAUAACUUCAUUUUAUUGCGUACAUAACAAGGUAAAAAUAUAGAUUCUAUCCAUGAAAACGCUUUUUAUGGAUCUACCUAGUCCAGGAUAUAAAUUUUUGAAUAUUUCUCCCUUUACUUUUUUCUUUUUUAAAUUUCAGACAUGGAGUUCAACAUAAAAUUCAACGGCGCAAAUUUCCUGGUUGCGAAAUUUAAGGGAGUGGUACGGGUGCAGUUCAAUACAAUUGUUCAGAGCUGCAGACAAUAAAGUUAAGAUUGCUGUGAUGGUACCCAACCUCCGACAGGAGACGGUACUGCAAGAAGAAGAAGACUUCCAAUCAGGACCCCUUUGUUAGUGACGUGUUCUGUCCAUGAUAUUUUCAGAAUUCUUCUAUACACGCACAACUCAUAUGAUUAGUUUUUUCAUUGAUGCCGCAUUCAAGGUCUAAGCUUCCAUUCCGUAAAACAAAGUCGAGAAAACGUAGCACCUAGCCAACCUUACUCUUAGCUCUAACUUCAGAUCUCUUGUACAGAGCACUUUUCUCAUUAGGGACAGACCUAGGUCAACCAUACAAUCAUAAAACCUCCAAACAUCGUAAGUCCCCUCUGUCAUAAUAUGAUGGCAUCAAAUUUUUAAAGAGUAAAGCUGCAAUAAAGGAUUUUCUGGCCUCUCCAGAGAUCACCUGGAAAUUUAUUCCUCCUCACGCCCCUCAUCAUGGUGGAGUCUUGGAAAGCGCAAUUUAAAAGUGCAAAGAACCAUCUCCAGAGGCUCAUUGGCAACUUAAUGCUCAGUUUCGAAGAAUUUUUCACGGUAUCGACCCAAAUAAAGGCUGUCCUCAAUUCUCGACCCCUCUGUGCCAUGUUCAACCAGCCUGGGGAUCUGCCAGCUCUUACAUUCGGUCAUUUUUUUUAAAUGGCAAACCCCUCAUCUCUUUUCCAGAAGUCAAUAUAAAUGAAAUAUGUACCAUCAUAUAGAUUAAACCUCUGCGAAAAAAAUUGUAUUAUAAUUCGUUAGAAGGACCAUAAGGCCAGUAUUAUACUAGGCAACUGGUGACGCCACCAAGUUGCUCCACCAGUGACAAGACCACUAUAGACUACGGUAACUAGUUGCGCCACCAGUUGCCCAUAUCGGCCACCAGUUGUCCAUAAUAUUUUGUGUGCUUUAACGGUAAUGGCCUUAGACUAGGUAACUGGUGACGCAACUAGUGGCGGAACUGGUGGCGCAACUAGUGGCUCCACCAAAUUAAAGCACACAAAAUAUUAUGGGCAACUGGAGGCCGAUAUGGGCAACUGGUGGCGCAACCAGUUACUAUAGUCUAAUAGGUCUCAUUUACUUAAAUGCCCCGUGACGUAAUGAGUCACUGGUGGAGCAACUUGGUGGCGUCACCAGUUGCCUAGUAUAAUACUGGCCUAAAGGAAAAGCAGGUGUUCAUCCACGAAUUUCCUGUUGGACAGCAAACGUCACGACCUGUCAUAUUGGAUUUACUCACAUGAUUGUGGUUGUAGGUUGCUGCUUCUCUUAUUUGUCUCUUGUGGGGAUAACAUUAUACACUGCACUUUUCUUUACUAUUUUAUUAACAAUACAGACACUCUACACUUGGUUAAAAUUACUUUGCUGUUGGAUACUACGGAACGUAAGAAACGUAAAACUAAACAGUUUUAGUGAUAUAUCAAAUAUGGCAAGUGAUCAUCUUGUUGCACUCCGCGUACUUAUUCACUUCCUUACCUUUUUUUUCGUGAUAUAAGUUUGGUUCUUUCGCUCUUAAAAUAGAUUACUGUUCUAAACAAUAUCUUCGUAUAGAAAUCCUAAUAUAUUUUUUUACUCUACCUUGUUACAUCCACCGAUUUAAUAAAGAUAGGAACAGAAAUCUGUAAAAUUUGUAAACUUUUCUUGUUAGGUAACUAGGGUUCCUAAACCCGAUUUCCCGAAUAUAUCAAAAUUCCUUUUACAUUCUUGUCGUGUCAAACCAACUUCCUUUUAUCUCGUUGGUCGUUGGUUAAUGAUCUAAUUACUUUUGUUUUUUCGAGGUUGUACAUAAGUGUACUUGUAAUUCCGUCGUCGCUGAAUAAAACAAUGCCAGCAAAUCAAAAAUGAUGGAUCAAUCAUGUUUAAACCCAUGUCCUAUCAACCUAACCUUUUCUUUCCAUUGAAACUUCAUUAUUUUUAAGGUCGUCAUUAAUAUCAACAAAAUGAGAAACAUACCUUUUUAUUGUACAUACAUGCAUUUAAUUUACUAGGUUAUAGUCCUGGAGCCCACCAUUAAAAAAAUAUAUUGCAUACCUUUUUCGGAAAAUUUUCAGGAGGGAGUGUUUCGUAAAUAUAGAAGUUUCUAAACUUGGAUGUGUCGAACAACUAGAGUACCCUUAAAAAUUUGUCAGACAAUAUUCAGUAAAUUGUAAGUAUUUUGUCAAACAAUCCUGCAAAAGUUCAUCAUUUAUGAGUCCAUAAUCCGCCCCCAUAGGGGGGGGGGACGCACUCAUCAUAAAGAGUCAUAGAAUUUAUACCCUCACAGCUGAAUUUUGCAGGAUUGUUUGAUAAAAAUAUUUACAAUUAAGUGGUAAUAUUGUCCGACAAAUUUUUAAGGGUAAUUCAGUUGUCGGACGCACCGAAGUUUGGAAACCUUUAUAUUUACGAAAAGCUCCCUCUCGAAAAUUUUCCGAAAUAGAAAAAAUGUCCGACUCGAUAUGAAUAACUGAAUAAAACAGUCUCAUGAUGAGGGAGGUAAUAUUUUUUUUAAUGGUGGGCCCAAAACUAUGUACUCAGCGAAUUACUUAUAUGCAAUUUUAAAAUGUUCACUUUCGUAUUUAAAGUCGAAAGUGAAUAACUGAACUAAUCAUUAACAAAAAAAAAACAAGCAAAACUGAACUUUGUAAUAUUAAAAUAAUUGUAGCCUGUGAUAUAGAUCUUCUUUCUCGAACAUUCUUAUUGAUUUCUACCUAUCUUGAACUUUCUCAUUACCGAAAGAUUUACACUGACAUCGUUGUGUAAGAGGUACUGUUAGAUACUUGUAGGAUAGUUGUUAAUAUGCAUAGCAUAGUAUUUGUUGUUUAUUUUGAAUAAAAUUUAUUUUUGUAUACAAUGUAUGUUAAAUUUUUCUUAGAAAGGAAAGACUAUUUGUGGAAUGUUGAAUUUUGUAAUAAACAAGUAUGUAUUUUUCUUGGUAGAGCUAGAUUUAUACCAUGACCAUAAUUUUAAUACACAGUAUGUCGCAAAAGUAUGGAAUAAAUUUAUUAUUUUAGAAACAGACGAAUAAAAAAAAACUUAAAACCCAUCAAUUUUAAUUUUUAAAUUGUCAUUAAUUGAUAUGUGUGUUAGACAAUAUGUCAUCAAUGUUGGCGUAAUGGCGUAAUCGAUGAUUUCAUUUACUAAACUAAAUUACGUUAGAAAAGAAUUUCUAAGUUCAUUGCAAUGAUAAACCAACAGUUUUGGUUAACGUUAUCAAAAUGAAUAUUCAAAUAAUUGCAUCGCAGCAAAGCGGAUUAGGAGACCUUUCAAAUGAGGUAUCCCGUGACUUCGCUUUGUAUUUAAAAAAAUCUUCGAUUACGUCAUUACAGCUUGUCAAGUAUACGGUGAUACUUGGCCACACUUGCGUAGAAAAAUAAGUGGGAACGCAUUCGGUGAAUUGUGUUUCUGUUGACUGCGCAUCCUAGGUGGAGCAUAAUAUCAAUAAGGCCAAGUAUGAUCGUAUAUUUGUCAGACUGUACGCCAAUUCUGAUGACGUAAUGUACAAAACAUAGCAACUGAUGAACAUUCAAACAUUAAAAGUGACGUGUUUAAGAUUUUUUUAAAAUUGUCUGUUUUUGAAAUAAUUUAUUUAUUCCAUACUUUUGCGACAACUUUAUCUGUUGGUUUAUGUACUUGUGUAUUUUAACGUCUAUGAUCGUUUUACUUACAGUUUUUCUGAGAAUCGUACUUUUCAACAGCUCAACCAUUGGUUAUGUCAAAAGUUUAUGUUUAUUUAAAUAGUUAUGGUAUUUAAUGUAGCUCUCGAAUACAGUGGAUUAUAAAUCUUAAUUACACAAUAUACUGCUAGGUGAUUAGCUAAACGAACUUAAUUAUACAAGAUUCACUAUUUCAAUAGUUAUUCCGCAGUAUAAUGCUAAGUAAUCAGUAGAUCACUCCGCGAAAAUUCUUUGUUCUCAUGUUCCAUUUUGGUGAAGACGCAUCAAAAGUUUGGUCCUUCUCGCAGAUGAAUGACAGCUAACGGCAUACUGCGUUUGACGUGAUUGGUCGUUAUCGUAGCGCAUUCAAAAUUUUUUCUCAGGAGUGGAUUGUAAAAUUGAAACUGUCAAAUUUUGAGAGUGAACUAACUGAUUCUUUAUCAUGAAACUGUGGUUAUACCGUUGUUUCAUUUAAAGAGAGUAUCGUUUUCGAAUAUUUUAUUUAAGUGAUAUUAUUAGACUUUGUUUAAUAGUUUCCCAACGUUGUUUAUGGUUUAUUCUCUACUGUAAACUAGCAGUACCUUUGAAAUUGUUGAAAUGUGGACAUAGUGCAAUACCUUUCAAAAAAAUCAGUUGUAGAAUAGAUGUGUUAACUGUUGGACUAAUAGUUUUGUUUUAUUAGAAUAGAUUUUGGUGCAAUUUCAUCACCAUUUACAACAGGAUUGUAGAUGGGAUUCAGAGCCUGAACUUGGUACAACUCUUCGAUAUUUUUUUACAAAGUUUUCCAGAAAGUUAGUGUAAAUCUUUUCGGUGAUGCUUAAAUGUAUAGAACUUAAAAGUUUUUGGUGGUUUUGUUUAAAGUGGCAUUUUGUUAUAAAUAUACUAAACAUUAUGGAUAUGAAGAGAGCCUAUAAAUAUCUUCGAAAAUAAUUUAGGUCAUUAACUGUGAAAUUUAUUCAUUUUUAUAUCCAAUAAAGUUAUUCCAAGAUAACUAGAAUCGUUUAACGAAUUCUAUUUGAAGUAAAUAUGGACACUAACAUGGCUAUUUUGACUUUGUUGACAGCUGCUCUAAGAAGUCCGCUAGUGGUCACAGUAAACCAUUUUCGUAGGUUAUGCAACCAUUAUUCUUCUUCCUGAACCUCUUUUUCCAUGUACUACCUUGAAGUAUGGUCCAAGGUAAGUCGUAACAUGGUUCCAUUAUGAAUUUAUUCAUACUCCAGGUAUUCCAGUUUGCGACAUUUUAUGAUCAUGACUAGAUCGUGCUCUUCACCCAUUCUGUGAUGAACUUCUUCGUUGGUUAUUUUGUCUAUCAAGGAAAUUCUCAAUAUGUUUACAGUACCACAUUUUAAAUGCUUCGAGUCUAUUCAGUGACACUUUAGUUAAGGCCCAUGACUCCACUCGAUGUAAAAGAAUGGAAAAUACGAAGCAUCUUGGUAAACGAACCUUGGAACGAACAUCUUGAAACUUUAUAUCGUGUCUGUUUUUUUCAAUCGUUUUUCAUUUUGAUGACGACUGAUUUUGAUGACGACUGAUCUUUCAUUCUCGAUCCUUAUCUUAAUAUCCAUUGAAUUCUUCAUUGUUCAUUUAAAUUUUUACCCAAAUACGAGUAGCAAAAACACAGCAAAGAUACAGCAAGGUAAAAUUGAAAAAUCAUCAAAAUUGAUUUUUCGCAUUUUUGCAUAAAAUUUGAGUUUUGAACAUGUUCCACCAACUCUAGAUAAAAAAAAACUUCAUAUUCCGGUUCAGCGACCUCGAAAACAUAAAGAAUGACCAAAAUGGGUCAUUCACCUUAAAGUUGAUUUUCGUGUUCGGUAUUACGUAAUUUUAGGGGUUGCUGCCGCUCGCCUAUUUGUGGAUGCCAAGAAAAAUAAGAACCAGUAGUCUUAUUAUAAUAUUAGAUAGACUUUUCGACUAGACGUUUAAGGCACUGCGUAAUAAUAUGGUCAUUUGUUCCGCGACCCGAUCGAAACUUUGUUUCUGGUAGAAAUCGAGUCUUAUUUUUAAUCUAUUUGCCAAUUUGCGAGUAAAAAGCUUGUAUAUGAAUAAAUAACUAUCUAUGGUUUAGUAAGCUAAUGAGCCUAUAGUUUUCAAGAUCAAAUUUUCUCCUUGUUUUGUGAAGGAUUAUAACCGAACUUUUCCAUUAUUUGGAAUGUUUUCGUUUUUGUCUUCUCCUUCUUAUAACCGUCUGCUUUCAAAAGUUGGCUUUCCAAAUGGGAAUUAUAGCUUUGAUAAAGUGGUCAAACCUCAGGUCUUUCAGCCUAGCCUUCCUACUGAUUUUUAUCACUGUACUUUACCUUCCAAUGUGAUUCGAAGUAAUUCAUAUCUUUCACCUCUCAACACAUGACUAAAGUAUUGUAUUUUCCUCUUUCGAUUAUGCUUACUAAUUCUUUUUUUUUACUCAUACGCCGAAGUACCUCAUAGUUAGUAACUUUUUGUACCCUUGCAAUUCUCAGUUUCUAUGUCUACUUGACGGAAACUAUCAUAAAUAUGUAUAUUAUUAUAGUACGUACUUCAUAUUUCAGGGAGUCAUCAGCAUCAUCAUUCAACCUCUUCCGUUCACUGCUGGACAUACGUCUCUCCCGCGUUUUUCGCCACUCUUCACGGUUCUGUGCGUUUUGUGGCUAUUUCUUGGACAUUUGUAUAAUGUCGUUUAUCCAGCAUAUUGGUGAUCGUCCUCUGCUGCGUUUAUCUUCUCUUGGGAGCAGUCAAUUAGUUUUCUGGUCCAUCUUGAGUGUUUUAGCCUCGCUAUGUGACCUGUCCAAUUCCAUUUUACCUUGGCUAUGCGUUUGACGAUAUCAGUGUCUUUUCCUCAGGUCUUGAUUCCUUAUUUUGUCUUUUUUUGUCACGCCGAGAAUCGAUCUUUCCGUGCGCAUUUGUGCGACUCGCAUUUUUAGCGCUGUUGUUUUUGUGAGCAUGAGAAUUUCUGCUCCGUAUGUCAUACCUUAAUAGGAAGAACGCAUGUUGCUCUUAAAGAUGUCUCUUAGUAACUUUAUUUAAAUUGAAAGGAGGGUUAGGUUAGGGAGUAACUUUAUUUAAAAUGAAAGUUAUAGAUAAUUCAAACUAUAGUAUUAAGUAGUAUUAAGGAUCUCUUUAUUUCUAUAUCAGUAAAAAAGAAUGCUACUUUAAAAUCUCAAGAUUUUUAUAUUAAUUUGUACGUAAGAGGUGAAUCAUAUCAUUUAAAAUUCGCGCGAAUGAAGCAUUUUUUGUCGGAAUGGGUGUAGUUUACGUAAUUUAUAAAAAAAUAAAAUGUUUAUAAUAACUCGUAAGUAGACUAAGUGUACAUGUUUCGUACUUGUAUGAUGUAGAUUUUACUCGAAAGCUCUCUCAAAGCCGAAUUAUACUUGAAUGUACUAUAAACUCUUAGGUACCACUAUGAUAUAGUGUUACUUUUGCUUUGAUGCCAUGUUUCUUAACUGUAUAACCUUAUAAUAUGUAUUGUACAGACUGUCUGAACUGAAUAAAUAUUCUUUGGAAAA